GGGAGGGUCAGGCUGGGGAAAUCACCACGCUGGGAAACUGGGGGUAUCACACAUGGCUGCUCCUUGAAUGUUCUGUGAGUGAGCAGCCCUGCUGUUCGGCCCAGAACCUGCUGGUCUGGGGAUUCUCAUCAGCGACAGACCUGCCCCACACUCUCCUGGUUCUGGUUGGACGAGACCACUGCUUGACUUGCCAUCACGUGUACCCUUAAAGAAUAGGAGUUCAUUGACCUGGAAGACACGCCUCAUCACAGCGUCUAACUUCAAGACUGUACUCUAGCAUUCAUUCUGCCUGUUGCCAUGCUUUAUACUUCACACCGAGCCUUUCACAUUGACUACCUCACCCUUCUUGCUCCCACACCGAUGGAUUGAAGGAACCCUCCAAUCCCAGCACUCAGAAGGCAGAUGCAGGAGUCUGAAGGCAGCCUGGUCUAUAAACCUUCAUCCAGCACCUGGUGGAAGGAGAAGCAGACACCCACAACUAAUCACAG